CCCAUGCCCGACCCGCGGGUGCCGGAGAUCUGACUCACCGUCCCCCUCCGGGCUUAGCCGGCGGAGGUGGGGCGGGUGCCGCAGAGGUAGCCAAGCAGCCCCUGCGCGCCUCCGGCCUGGCCCAGCGACCUCCUCUCCGGCCUGCAGUUACCCGGUCCCCUCCCGCCACCACCCGCUACCCGACCACCUCCGAGUCCGCCUGGGGUGGCCGAACGUAUGGAGCUGGGCUCCAGGGUGCACGAGGAUGGGGGAUGAGGAGCGGGGCGUUCUCCCUCCCAGCACCCCCCAGCUGACUGUGCCCGGAGAGGGUGUGUGAGCUGGAACCUCCAGCAUUCUCGGGGAUACGAACUUCCAACGCUGGGCAGCCUCUUAAGGCUUCUAGGAAUUCGCAUCCUCCGCGCCCCCGCCAGCGGAUCGGUUGCGAGAGGGACCGUUCGGGCCCGCGGGGCCGGGAAUGGAGGUGGGAGGGCGGGGCCGAGGCGGCGGCCGCCUGCGGACUGGGGACCCGGGAGGACGGACGCGGACGCGGGCUGCUAGUCUUUUACAGCUCUUCAGCGCCCACCACUACCCACCCCUCUAGAAGACCCCGGGCGAUGGUGGGGCUCUUGGGCAUUCUGAGACUGCGCUUGGUGGAGCCCCCUACUGGCCCGACCGGAUUUCUCAGCCUGCGACUCAGCCCCAGGCUACGCGAAAGAGGCCGGACCCGGCUUUUACUGCCUCCUGAAGCCUUCCUCUUGUUCACACUGAGUGUCCAGUCCCUCCAAAUCUGACUACACUCUACUGGCAAGGAACACCUGGGCCAUGUUUUAGAGAUCAUCCGAAGACUAACCCCAAAAGUUUAUGAAGAGAAAGCAGAGGCCGAGCUGAAGAUGGACCAGGGUCACACCCAGGUAGAGGCAGGAUCUAAACUGAAACUGGUGUCAAAUCUGGUUGCCUUGAAGCAACACUGGGCAGGAUAGAGCAGAGUGAGGUCCGAGUGUGAAGAUCCAGCCUGAUGCCCAAACUGACGCCUCUUCAUUCUCCCCCGCUCCGUCUGUAAAAGUCAAGGGUUAAUCCAUCUACUUUAUUGCAUUAUAUGGAGAAAUAAAUGAAAUGUCAUAGCUG
rnacentral:lncRNA from 1 species